rfam:Gorilla gorilla gorilla genomic chromosome, chr7, whole genome shotgun sequence
AUGAUUUUGCAGCUUAUACAUGUGAUGACUGGGUUUUUUAACUCAUAAGUGAGAUGGGCCUUUCUCACAUCUUAUUAUGACAUUAGUACAUUACCCAUUUGAUA